rnacentral:rRNA from 1 species
GUACUGACGCUGAGAUGCGAAAGCGUGGGGAGCAAACAGGAUUAGAUACCCUGGUAGUCACGCUGUAAACGAUGUCGAUUUGGAGUUUGUUGCCUAGAGUGAUGGGCUCCGAAGCUAACGCGAUAAAUCGACCGCCUGGGGAGUACGGCCGCAAGGUUAAAACUCAAAUGAAUUGACGGGGGCCCGCACAAGCGGUGGAGCAUGUGGUUUAAUUCGAUGCAACGCGAAGAACCUUACCUGGUCUUGACAUCCAUAGAAUUCUGCAGAGAUGUGGGAGUGCCUUCGGGAACUAUGAGACAGGUGCUGCAUGGCUGUCGUCAGCUCGUGUUGUGAAAUGUUGGGUUAAGUCCCGCAACGAGCGCAACCCUUAUUCUUUGUUGCCAGCGAUUUGGUCGGGAACUCAAAGGAGACUGCCGUUGAUAAAGCGGAGGAAGGUGGGGACGACGUCAAGUCAUCAUGGCCCUUACGACCAGGGCUACACACGUGCUACAAUGGCGUAUACAAAGGGAAGCGAAGGUGCGAGCUGGAGCGGAUCCCAUAAAGUACGUCUAAGUUCGGAUUGGAGUCUGCAACUCGACUCCAUGAAGUCGGAAUCGCUAGUAAUCGUAGAUCAGAAUGCUACGGUGAAUACGUUCCCGGGCCUUGUACACACCGCCCGUCACACCAUGGGAGUGGGUUGCACCAGAAGUAGAUAGCUUAACCGCGAGGGGGGCGUUUACCACGGUGUGAUUCAUGACUGGGGUGAAGUCGUAACAAGGUAACCA